rfam:Pteropus alecto contig51809, whole genome shotgun sequence.
GUCUAUGGCCAUGCCACCCUGAACAAGCCGGAUCCCGCCUGAUCUCGGAAGCUAAGAAGAGUCAGACCUGGUUAGUACUCAGAUGGGAGACUACCUAGGAAGGUCAGAUGCUGUAGGCA